AAUGGGAAUAAACAGAGAAAAGGAGAUAAUGUCAAGACUUUUUUACUAUAUAUAUUUUUGGAAGCAUGUUCUAAGACCUGUUGACGAAUGUGAAGUAUCAAGAAGAGAGCUAGUUUUAUAUAUACAAUGAGUAUUAUGAGUUCCACUAAAAGUACAAGUCUCUACCGGUUUCUCUACCAUUGCUCUCAUUUUGGGUUCCAAUGCGCCAAGAGCUUUUCAUGGGGCUUCAUCGUCCUUCUAUUUACAGGUGUUACUGUAUGAAACUUUUUCGCAGCGAAAAAUAUGAAAAACAGUAUUUAGAUCAAUAAUGAAAACAGGCGUAAUUCUUAAGCAUAGUUUUGAUGAAUGCGGAGCAUGAAAUUAGGACUAGUAAAUUUAUAUAGUGGAGAAAUAAAUUGAUUGACACGGUUGUUGAUCAUGCAGCUAAUGGAAGAGAAGUUGUUCUGUUUUAGAUUAUUAUUGCACAAUUUAUGGAGUCAUGGAUGAAUCAAUCUUUGUUUCGAUAAAAUAAAAGAAGUGAAAUCGAUUUAGAGUUUUAUUGUUAAUUUGCAUUCGUCGAUAGACUAUACUUUUUAUGUGAAACAUCCAAUUGAAUUAAAUUUAUUGCCUGUCUCUUGAUCAUUAUAUCUGAUAAAUAAUUAUCGCGUAUUAAAGUCAAUGCACCAUGGAAGACGAUCAAGAAACUAGUAUAUUUCUUCUAUAGAACAAUGGUAUCAAUCUACUGCAACUUCAACCUACUUCAUUUUCAAUUUACUUUGAUGUAAAUCUAUCUUAUUUUUGACUUAUUACGAGUCAACCUACUCUAAUUUCAACCUACAAUAAGGAUGAAUGUUUUGGACCGUGGAAUUUCUUAAAUAAAGUCCGUUUUCCUAACGAGGAGUGAUAAGCCAUGGAUGCGCGGAUGGAAACUUUUACGCGAAUAAAAUUAUUCUA